UACAGAGGGUGCGAGCGUUGUCCGGAUUUAUUGGGCGUAAAGAGCGUGUAGGCGGCCAGGUAGGUCUGCUGUGAAAACUCGAGGCUCAACCUCGAGACGUCGGCGGAAACCAUCUGGCUAGAGUCCGGAAGAGGAGAGUGGAAUUCCUGGUGUAGCGGUGAAAUGCGCAGAUAUCAGGAAGAACACCCGUGGCGAAGGCGGCUCUCUGGGACGGUACUGACGCUGAGACGCGAAAGCGUGGGGAGCGAACAGG
rnacentral:rRNA from 1 species